CCCUUAGAUGUUCUGGGCUGCACGCGCGCUACACUGAUGCGUUCAACGAGUUUAUGACCUUGCCCGAUAGGGUUGGGUAAUCUUUUUAAAUCGCAUCGUGAUGGGGAUAGAUUAUUGCAAUUAUUAAUCUUCAACGAGGAAUUCCUAGUAAGCGCGAGUCAUCAGCUCGUGCUGAUUACGUCCCUGCCCUUUGUACACACCGCCCGUCGCUCCUACCGAUUGAAUGGUCCGGUGAAAUCUCCGGACUGGCGUGAGUCGGAGCAAUCUGACAAACACCGGAAAGUUGAUUAAACCUUACCAUUUAGAGGAAGGUGAAGUCGUAACA
rnacentral:rRNA from 1 species